rnacentral:lncRNA from 1 species
CUGGCUGUAAAUCCUAGUCUACGGUCCAGCAGGCUGUGUUUAAACUGCGUGUGCAAGUGGGCUUGGGCUUUGAGCGACUGUGCGUUGCAGCGAAUGGCUAGGGACCUGAUCGGGCCGGCACUGCCGCCUGGCUUCAAGGAGCGCGCAACAGUUGAGGACCAGGAGCGGGACCCGAGCCCCGGUAAGCAGCAGCGGGCGUCAGCACUCGCGGGAAGGACUGGCAACCACCGCGGAGUUGGCGCGGUCCACCCUGAGGAGCAAGCUAGGCACGCAGGAGUGUUUGGGACCUGAUCAUCAUUAGUUUGGGACCUGAUCAUCAUUAAAAUGACACCAGUCCCAAUUUGCUAUUAAUGCGAACAGGACUGUGCUAACUGAUCAAUCUUCGUCCGGUCGUCUGUUUAACCCUUCCAUCAACUGUAUAAGAAAAGAUGAUGGAGAGUGCGUGUGUUACAAACGAUGACAGCGGGUGGAGAAUUUGUACCUAAGACACACAGCUAGUCAGUGGUGAAGUCCAAAUUACAACCUAGUGUCUCUAUACCUUCGGAUUUAGAAGUCUCUCGCUGAAGAUCCUGUGCCUCCCUCUCCCUAGCCUGACUUCCUGGCCUCAUUCUAGCAUUCCAUCUCACACACGCAGCCCAGUGCUCACACAGUCCAGUGCUUUGACGAUAGGCUUUUUUGGGCUGCUCUGGUUGUACUUAAACACCUGACA